UAGGGAAUCUUCCGCAAUGGGCGAAAGCCUGACGGAGCAACGCCGCGUGAGUGAUGAAGGUCUUCGGAUCGUAAAACUCUGUUAUUAGGGAAGAACAAAUGUGUAAGUAACUAUGCACGUCUUGACGGUACCUAAUCAGAAAGCCACGGCUAACUACGUGCCAGCAGCCGCGGUAAUACGUAGGUGGCAAGCGUUAUCCGGAAUUAUUGGGCGUAAAGCGCGCGUAGGCGGUUUUUUAAGUCUGAUGUGAAAGCCCACGGCUCAACCGUGGAGGGUCAUUGGAAACUGGAAAACUUGAGUGCUGAAGAGGAAAGUGGAAUUCCAUGUGUAGCGGUGAAAUGCGAGGAGAUAUGGAGGAACACCAGUGGCGAAGGCGACUUUCUGGUCUGUAACUGACGCUGAUGUGCGAAAGCGUGGGGAUCAAGCAGG
rnacentral:rRNA from 1 species